CCUACGGGUGGCAGCAGUGAGGAAUAUUGGUCAAUGGGCGCAAGUCUGAACCAGCCAUGCCGCGUGAAGGAUGACGGCUCUAUGGGUUGUAAACUGCUUUUGUACGGGAGUAAACUCAUCUACGCGUGUCUGUCUGAAAGUAUCAUACGAAUAAGGAUCGGCUAACUCCGUGCCAGCAGCCGCGGUAAUACGGAGGAUUCAAGCGUUAUCCGGAUUUAUUGGGUUUAAAGGGUGCGUAGGAGGUCGGAUAAGUUAGAUGUGAAAUCCCGAGGCUCAACCUGAGAAUUGCAUUUGAUACUGGUAGGCUAGAGAACAGGAGAGGUAGGCGGAAUGCAUGGUGUAGCGGUGAAAUGCUUAGAGAUCAUAAAGAACACCGAUUGCGAAGGCAGUUUACCAAGCUACAUCUGACGUUGAGGCACGAAAGUGUGGGGAGCAAACAGGAUUAGAUACCCUGGUAGUC
rnacentral:rRNA from 1 species